UGGGAUCCAGCUAGGUCAUC
rnacentral:misc_RNA from 1 species